rnacentral:rRNA from 1 species
CAUCUAAGCGGGAAGCCUCCCUCGAGAUGAGAUCUCCCUGACCCCUUGAGGGUCCUGAAGGGCCGUGGAAGACCACCACGUUGAUAGGCGGGAUGUGGACGCGCUGUGAGGCGUGAAGCUAACCCGUACUAAUUGCCCGUGCGGCUUGACCAUAUAAC